rnacentral:rRNA from 1 species
GAUGAACGCUGGCGGCGUGCCUAAUACAUGCAAGUAGAACGCUGAAGCUUGGUGCUUGCACCGAGCGGAUGAGUUGCGAACGGGUGAGUAACGCGUAGGUAACCUGCCUCUUAGCGGGGGAUAACUAUUGGAAACGAUAGCUAAUACCGCAUAAAAGUCGACAUUGCAUGAUGUUGACUUGAAAGGUGCAAUUGCACCACUAAGAGAUGGACCUGCGUUGUAUUAGCUAGUUGGUGAGGUAACGGCUCACCAAGGCAACGAUACAUAGCCGACCUGAGAGGGUGAUCGGCCACACUGGGACUGAGACACGGCCCAGACUCCUACGGGAGGCAGCAGUAGGGAAUCUUCGGCAAUGGGGGCAACCCUGACCGAGCAACGCCGCGUGGGUGAAGAAGGUUUUCGGAUCGUAAAGCUCUGUUGUAAGAGAAGAACGAGUGUGAGAGUGGAAAGUUCACACUGUGACGGAACUACCAGAAAGGACG